rnacentral:rRNA from 1 species
UGCCAGCCGCCGCGGUAAUACGAAAAAUGCAAGCAUUAAUCGGAAUUACUGAGCGUAAAGCGCGCGUAGGCGGCUGUUUAAGUCGGAUGUGAAAGCCCCGGGCUCAACCUGGGAACUGCAUUCGAUACUGGACAGCUAGAGUAUGGGAGAGGGUUGUGGAAUUCCACGUGUAACGGUGAAAUGCGUAGAUAUGUGGAGGAACAUCAGUGGCGAAGGCGGCAGCCUGGCCCAAUACUGACGCUGAGGUGCGAAAGCGUGAGGAGCAAACAGGAUUAGAUA